UUCCUGCACCAUUUUGUGUCUUCCUGCAGCAGCAGGGAGGGACAUAGGUCAUUUCCAAAUACGUUUCUUGGACGAGCUUCUUGAUAUUAAACAUGCCCAGACGAUUGUGGGUCUUGUAUUCCAUAUGUACUCAUUUGGAUGUUGUGGUGCUUUCUUCACUGUGUGUAGGUACCAAGGCUGCAUUUGGAAAGCCAUGUUUCACUAUAUCAGUGUGUGUGUGGACUCAUAUCAGUAUGCCUUUUAUACCUGCAACAAAGAGUGUAGAAAACUUGGCUAGGACUGGUACAAAGGCGAUUGCAAGAAGGAGAAUGGUGGCAUAUAAUGCUGUCUUCCUCCCUCCCUAAAGUGGUAGUCAUGCUAUACACUAUCAUGUUAUAUAAAAUCAUUGCAAGUAAUUUCAAUAAACUUUACUGGUAGUUGC
rnacentral:lncRNA from 1 species